GACGAACGCUGGCGGCGUGCUUAACACAUGCAAGUCGAACGGAAAGGCCCUGCUUUUGUGGGGUUCUCGAGUGGCGAACGGGUGAGUAACACGUGAGUAACCUGCCCUUGACUUUGGGAUAACUUCAGGAAACUGGGGCUAAUACCGGAUAGGAUCUCCUGCUGCAUUGUGGGCGUUGGAACGUUUCGGCGGUUGGGGAUGGACUGGCGGCUGAUCAGCUUGUUGGUGGGGUAGUGGCUUACCAAGGCUUUGACGGGUAGCCGGCCUGAGAGGGUGACCGGCGACAUUGGGACUGAGAUACGGACCAGACUCCUACGGGAGGCAGCAGUGGGGAAUAUUGCACAAUGGGAGGAAGCCUGAUGAAGAAACGCCGCGUGCGGGAUGCCGGCCUUCGGGUUGUAAAACGCUUUCGCCUGUGACGAAGCGUGAGUGACGGUAAUGGGUAAAGAAGCACCGGCUAACUACGUG
rnacentral:rRNA from 1 species